CCAGGGAGGCGGCGGUGCCCAUUCCCCAGUACAUCCCUGAGGCUGCUGACUGCCCACCCUGAGCUGCGAGCGGCCCCACUGAGCUGAGCCCCGGCGGGAGGCCUGCCCCCAGCCCUCUCCCAGGUGCCCAAGUCUGAGCGCUGGCAACGCCAUCCUUGAAGCUACAAGGCCUACCAGCCUGGCAUCAGCCUCGCUCCUUCUAUUUCCCACCCCACGUCCAGUCCAGCAGACAGUUCUGAACUCGUCUGCCAUCCCAGCCUUCUCUGCUCCUCCACGGCUCCCUCCUGGUCCCAGACACUGGCACGGGACCCCCGGAUGGCCCCAGCAGCCAGCAGCUGCCCAGCAGGCCGCCUAUUGGGUCCUUCCCUGGCACAUCCCCCUCUCUGUGCAAAGGUCUGCGGGACGCUCCAUUUCACGGAGUCCCGCUGAAGCGCCUCUGGUGGCCCUGGGACCCUUCAGGUCUCGCCAUCUACAUGUGGGUGACAUCAUCCUCCCUCUGGCUCUGCCCACCAGUCACCAGCCACUGGGCCUCCUGCGUCUUCCAACAGACUAGCACUCCCCACAGCUGGCCUCUUCUCCAGGCUGCAUCCCAGGAGGGCAGCCUCUGGUGCCUGCUGUACCCACUGCCGCAUCCCCGUGCCGCCACACUGUGCCGGGAGUGGAGUUUCUGCUCUGCACUUGUGGGUCCAUUCUGCAUCCCUAAACUUUCCAAGAAACUCCGGCGACCGCAGGAUCAUGCACACCAGCUGCCAAAGGGACCCGUUGCUAGCUGUCAUCACAUUUGAGGGAGGUCCCUGCUCUCUAGGAAUGGGACCUCCUGCCUGCACAGGUCAUGCCGAGGGGGUGUAGAUAAGGGUGAGGAUGGGGACCACCUCCUAACAGACGCGGAUACCAAAGUUGGGGCACAAAGGGAAAUCCAGAUGGAUUUGGAGCACACGCACAAUUGAGAGGGCUGUCGAAGCUCUCACACAGACCAAAGUAUGCAGAUGGCUUGCUAAUUAUUACUGUUCAUGCUAUGACAUUUUUUCCAGUAGCACAGGCAUGACUCAGACCCCACAUGGGAAGAGGCUCCAAGGCAGUGCUGUAGGACCCUCAGACCAUUUGCGAUUUUGUGAUUUAAAAAAAGGAAACAAAACAACAAAACAAGUCCAUGGCUAUCCUAGCAACAGCCAGGCUGCUGCUGCAUGGUCACCACAGCUCGCAGGAGGUUAAUAGGACCUAGUAUGGGGCCAGCUGGGGUCCACAUCAGGCAGGUGCAGUGGCCAGGACGUCUGGAGGAAAGUGCAGCGAUAUGUUCCAGGUGAUCUGGGUUUGCAGAUCAGUCACAGGAACAAUAAAAACCAGCCAGCUCCUGAUGGCACACCUGCCAUGUGCCAGCCCCCGUGCUUCACAUCCGGGAGCUCGAUGAAGCCUGGAGCAACUAAUCCCAGAGCUGAACAAGCUGAGGCUCAGAGAGGGAAGCGACUUGUCUGAGGCCACACAAUCACCCAUCAUGCACCCUGGAUUCGAAUGUCUCAGCAGCCUGGAACUGCACAGCCAGAGGACAUCCUAUCAGCGCAAGGCUCACCUCAAGGAGGGAAGUGACAUGUGCCUCACACUGGCAGCUCCAAGCCUGGCCGGCUUACCUCAGCUCGCGAGAGGGCUGUCACGUCUUCAGAGAUCGUGUCAGCCUGUUGGUGACGUGUUGGUAGUUGACACUGGCCAUCGUGGGAGUAGUCUGGCCCAGAGAUGGGCAAUUCUACAAACCAGGGUCGGGUGGUGAGCAUUUUCCAACACAGCAUUGCACGCUGAGGUCAGAGCUAGCCUGCCUGGUCCAGAGGCCAACCUGCUUGUUCAGCAGCUGUGUGGGCUGGGCACACUUGCUAUUUUGUGCACUGGAGAAAGUACCAGUGCCCACCACACAGGCUGUGGAAAUCGUUACGUAUAAUAACUCAUGCAAAUCCCCCAGGGCAGUACAAUCCCACACCUCAUGGUGACACUCUGGUCAAGGAUGAACUGCGUGUGCUAAGUGUCCCCCCAAAGUUACGGUGCAGCUGAAAAAUGUGGGCACCGAGUGAUGUCACAGCUUCCGUGACAUUGCAGCAAAGUGUGUGGCUCGUGUGUGUGCUGAUGCUGGUGCAAAGAAACCUACAGCACUGCCAACCCUACAACUGUGGCAUAGGCAGUUAUGUGUGGUGCGCAAUGCUUGGGAAUGAUAAGCAGCCGUGUCACUAGUUUACAUAUUCACUCUGCUUUUUAUUGUUGUAUUAUUUAUUUAUUUGGCUCUUUCAGACAGGGUCUUGUUAGGC